GAUGAAGAACGUAGCGAAAUGCGAUAAGUAAUGUGAAUUGCAGAAUUCAGUGAAUCAUCGAAUCUUUGAACGCACCUUGCGCUCCUUGGUAUUCCGAGGAGCAUGCCUGUUUGAGUGUCAUUAAUAUAUAUCAACCUGUCUGGUUGGAUGGUGGGUUUGCUGGCCUUUUUGGGUCAGCUCACCUUAAAUGCAUUAGCGGACAAUAUUUUGUGAACUGUUCAUUGGUGUGAUAAUUAUCUAUGCUAUUGAAUGUGAAGCAAGGUUCAGCUACUAACGGUCCAUUGACUUGGACAAAAUUAUUUUUAUCAAUGUGACCUCAAAUCAGGUAGGACUACCCGCUGAACUUAAGCAUAUCAAUAAGCGGAGGA
rnacentral:misc_RNA from 1 species